GACGAACGCUGGCGGCGUGCUUAACACAUGCAAGUCGAACGCUGAAGCUUGGUGCUUGCACUGGGUGGAUGAGUGGCGAACGGGUGAGUAAUACGUGAGUAACCUGCCCUUGACUCUGGGAUAAGCCUGGGAAACUGGGUCUAAUACUGGAUAUGACAUGCCACUGCAUGGUGGUGUGUGGAAAGGGUUUUACUGGUUUUGGAUGGGCUCACGGCCUAUCAGCUUGUUGGUGGGGUAAUGGCCUACCAAGGCGACGACGGGUAGCCGGCCUGAGAGGGUGACCGGCCACACUGGGACUGAGACACGGCCCAGACUCCUACGGGAGGCAGCAGUGGGGAAUAUUGCACAAUGGGCGGAAGCCUGAUGCAGCGACGCCGCGUGAGGGAUGACGGCCUUCGGGUUGUAAACCUCUUUCAGCACGGAAGAAGCGAGAGUAACGGUACGUGCAGAAGAAGCGCCGGCUAACUACGUG
rnacentral:rRNA from 1 species